ensembl:snRNA U6 U6 spliceosomal RNA
GCCUUGCUUCAGCAGACAUAUACUAAAACGGGAAUGAUGAUACAGAGAUUAGCACGGCCCCUUGCACAAGGAUGACACGCAAAUUUGUGAAGCGUUCCCUGUUUUC